rnacentral:rRNA from 1 species
UACGAAGGGGGCUAGCGUUGUUCGGAAUUACUGGGCGUAAAGGGCGCGUAGGCGGUCCUUCAAGUCAGGCGUGAAAGCCCCGGGCUCAACCUGGGAACCGCGCUUGAGACUGGCGGACUCGAGUUCGGGAGAGGAUGGUGGAAUUCCCAGUGUAGAGGUGAAAUUCGUAGAUAUUGGGAAGAACACCGAUGGCGAAGGCAGCCAUCUGGACCGACACUGACGCUGAGGCGCGAAAGCGUGGGGAGCAAACAGG